UCCGUAGGUGACAAUCGUUAUCCGGAUUUACUGGGCGUAAAGGGAGCGUAGGCGGAUAAUUAAGUGGGAUGUGAAAUACCCGGGCUCAACCUGGGUGCUGCAUUCCAAACUGAUUAUCUAGAGUGCAGGAGAGGAGAGUGGAAUUCCUAGUGUAGCGGUGAAAUGCGUAGAGAUUAGGAAGAACACCAGUGGCGAAGGCGACUCUCUGGACUGUAACUGACGCUGAGGCUCGAAAGCGUGGGGAGAAAACAGG
rnacentral:rRNA from 1 species